GCCUUCGUGGUGUAAUAUUCGACACACUCGGCGCGUAUUCGAAAGGUCGUGGUUCGAAUCCCGGCGAGGGCA
rnacentral:tRNA from 1 species